rnacentral:rRNA from 1 species
UCACUUGUCUCCUAAAUAGAGACCUGUAUGAANNGCAUAACGAGGGCCUAGCUGUCUCCCCCUCCCAGUUAAUGAAAUUGAUCUUUCCGUGCAGAAGCGGGAAUAUAACCAUAAGACGAGAAGACCCUAUGAAGCUUUAGAUAAAAGGUAGAUCAAACUACAACAUCCCCAAAACAAAGGGCUGAACCAAAUGAUUUCUACCCUAAUGUCUUUGGUUGGGGUGACCGCGGGGAAAUAAAAAACCCCCAUGUGGAACGGGAGUAUUACUCCUUUAACUAAGAGCAACAGCUCUAAUAAACAGAAUUUUUGACCAAUAAGAUCNNGCAACGCCGAUCAACGGACCGAGUUACUCUAGGGAUAACAGCGCAAUCCUCUUUUAGAGACCA